rnacentral:rRNA from 1 species
UUUUCCGCAAUGGGCGAAAGCCUGACGGAGCAACGCCGCGUGAGUGAUGACGGCCUUCGGGUUGUAAAACUCUGUUCUGAAGGAAGAAGUUCUGACGGUCCUUCAGGAGAAAGCCCCGGCUAACUACGUGCCAGCAGCCGCGGUAAUACGUAGGGGGCAAGCGUUGUCCGGAGUUAUUGGGCGUAAAGCGCGCGCAGGCGGCACUUUAAGUCAGGUGUGAAAGGCUGCGGCUCAACCGCAGAGCUGCACCUGAAACUGGGGAGCUUGAGUACAGGAGAGGAGAGUGGAAUUCCCGGUGUAGCGGUGGAAUGCGUAGAGAUCGGGAGGAACACCAGUGGCGAAGGCGACUCUCUGGACUGUAGCUGACGCUGAGGCGCGAAAGCGUGGGGAGCGAACAGG